rnacentral:piRNA from 1 species
UAACGUUCUGAGGAAAUAGGUGUA